AUGCUCCGUACCUACACCGUACUGCUCCUCAUUGCACAUGCUCAUGUGCAGAGCCACUUUUACUACCCCUGCUCCGCAAGAAUAUUCUGGAAAAUUCAUGCGCUCAUCAACAACACCGACGGUUUUGUUACUCGGGAAGUCAAACUUGGCUACUUUAUCGGGUACAAGGAGCAUCGCAGUUCGGCAGAGAGAAAGGCUAAUGCUCAUGAAAUGAUCGAGAGUCUUGAGCAUGCUAAUACAGGUGCUUUUGAUGAUAUCAGGACAGAUAGCGAAACUCACUUUUUUGAUUUGGACGAUGCAGAGCGGAUGAUCGAACGGGAUUCUAUUGAAAGAACUAAUGUGAGUGAGGAUUAGGCUUAGGCUUAGGCUAGGCUUAGGCUUAGACUCAAGCUUAGGCGUAGGCUUAGGCUUCACGUGUUUUCAGCUCGACCAUUCGGUGUAAUUUGUGCAAACGCCGUCACGCGCAAAUGCAGACAUUUUUGCCCGCGCUGCGGUGAAAUUCCUCUUGGGGAAUUCAAAUAUUUUUCCCGCCUUUUUUGAAAAUUUUCGAGGCAUUGGUCGAGCUGAAUACACGUGGGCUUAGGCGUAGGCUCAGGCUAGCUUAGGCUUAGGCUUAUGUUAGGAUUAGUCGUAUGCUUAGCACACUGUGUAUCUGCGUGCAAUUCCUGGACAACGUACUCUCAACAAGCAGAUGUUUGUCACCUGUGGAAGGAAUAUACUUGCUCUCGGAAAAAUUGUGAAUAGAGAGUAUUAA